rnacentral:rRNA from 1 species
AUCCUGGCUCACAAUGAACGCUGGCGGCGUGCUUAACACAUGCAAGUCGCACGAGAACACCUCAGCUUGCUGGGGUAAGUAAAGUGGCGCACGGGUGAGUAACGCGUGGGUAAUCUGCCCUCGAAUCUGGGAUAACCCCGCGAAAGCGGGGCUAAUACCGGAUGAAAUCCAGUUAGCUUUGGCUAUAUGGAUCAAAGGUGGCCUCUGCAUGCAAGCUACUGUUUGGGGAUGAGCCCGCGUACCAUUAGCUUGUUGGUGGGGUAAAGGCCCACCAAGGCGACGAUGGUUAGCUGGUCUGAGAGGAUGAUCAGCCACACUGGAACUGGAACACGGUCCAGACUCCUACGGGAGGCAGCAGUGAGGAAUUUUGCGCAAUGGGGGUAACCCUGACGCAGCAACGCCGCGUGAGUGAUGAAGGCCUUCGGGUCGUAAAGCUCUGUCAAGUGGGAAGAACCCAUUCCGGCACAACAAGCCGGGGUGCUGACGGUACCACGGAAGGAAGCACCGGCUAACUCCGUGCCAGCAGCCGCGGUAAUACGGAGGGUGCGAGCGUUAUUCGGAAUUACUGGGCGUAAAGGGCGCGUAGGCGGCCGAUUAAGUCAGAUGUGAAAUCCCGGGGCUUACCCCCGGAAGUGCAUUUGAUACUGAACGGCUUGAGUAUGGGAGAGGGAAGUGGAAUUCCUGGUGUAGCGGUGAAAUGCGUAGAUAUCAGGAGGAACACCGGUGGCGAAGGCGACUUCCUGGACCAAUACUGACGCUGAGGCGCGAAGGCGUGGGGAGCAAACAGGAUUAGAUACCCUGGUAGUCCACGCAGUAAACGGUGGUCACUAGGUGUAACGGGUAUUGACCCCUGCUGUGCCGGAGUUA